UGUGACCCUAUUCUGCAACUAGGACUGCAGCCAUUUGUACCUCCCUGGGCUGUGUCACUAUUGUUUUGUUCCACUUCCUUCACUUUAGUUACGUUUUGGUUGAAUUUUCUCAUGUUUUGUGUUAGCUUUGUUUCACUGCUCUUUCAGUUGUCCUUUAAAGUGUAAAUAGAUAAGAUUUUCCGUAACUUAAGCCCCGUUCACACUGUGCUGACUCUGGGCCAUGACAACUCAACGACUUGGGGUAUACAAGGUCUUGGGUGUGAAAUGUUGAUCUGAAAGGGGGGUUAGGGAGAGGGGGGAAAGAUCAGUGAGAAACUUUGAGCAGGCAAGGAGGGAGUGUAUGAAUAGAGAGAGAUGGAAACUCUUCUGCCGUGGCUAUCCCCUGGUGGGAGGUCCUAGGUGCAGGCGUCAAUGAGAUGAUGAUGAUGAUGAUGAAAGGGUUGCACAUCGUCAGAAAGAGGUCUAGAAACGAUCGCCGGAUGCUGAGUUGGCAUAGUGUGCAGGGGGCUAAAAGUCGCUGGGUUGUCGUGGGCCAGAGCAGGGUUGCCAGAUAUCGUAUCCACCAUUGUAUUUACCAUUUUUAGACACUUAACUAUAGCAGAAAGACACUAAUAAUUAAACCUUUCAAUGGUAACUAUAAAUAAAUGUAGUUAUUGGGGUGGAGAAGACAGUUUGUGGUCGGAAAUCGGAAAACAUAAGAGGCUGAGUACGACAAUCUGGUAUCGCUGGCCCAGAGUCAGCACAGUGUGAAGGCGCCUUGGUCUAAUGUUACGGUUAAACUUUCUUUUGUUAUGUUAGCUUUAUUUCAGCUUCUCCCUUAGUUGUCCUUUAAACUGUAAAUACUAUAUGAGGUUUUGCUUAACUUAGUCUUAUGUUAUGGUUAAACUUUAUUAUGUUAUGUUAGCUUUAUUUCAUGAGCUCCCUUAGUCUUUGAAGUGUAAAUCCGUACACAGAAUUUUGUUUUAGUUGAUGUAGGGUUUUCUUAUAUUAAUUUUAUCCCAAGCUAAGACAAUCUGGUAGAGAGUGUAAAUUAGUUAAAGUGUAAAUACAUAUAUAGAAUUUUGUUUUAGUUGAUGUAGGGUUUUCUUACAUUAAUUUUAUCCCAAGCUAAGACAAUCUGGUAGAAAGUGUAAAUUAGUUAAAGUGUAAAUACAUAUAUAGAAUUUUGUUUUAGUUGA